rnacentral:rRNA from 1 species
AUUGAACGCUGGCGGCAGGCCUAACACAUGCAAGUCGAACGGAGCGGCUGACGGGUGAGUAAUGCCUACGAAUCUGCCUGGUAGUGGGGGAUAACGUCCGGAAACGGGCGCUAAUACCGCAUACUAUCAGAACAGCCUAGGUCGGUUUAGCUAGUGCGGGGGGUAAAGGCCUACCAAGGCGACGAUCCGUAACUGGUCUGAGAGGAUGAUCAGUCACACUGUAACUGAGACACGGUCCAGACUCCUACGGGAGGAAGCAGUGGGGAAUAUGGGACAAUGGGCGAAAGCCUGAUCCAGCCAUGCCGCGUGUGUGAAGAAGGUCUUCGGAUUGUAAAGUACUUUAAGUUGGGAGGCGUUACCAACAGAAUAAGCACCGGCUAACUUCGUGCCAGCAGCCGCGGUAAUAC